rnacentral:rRNA from 1 species
GACGUAGGGGGGCCAGCGUUGUUCGGAAUUACUGGGUGUAAAGGGUUCGUAGGCGGUGCGGCAAGUUGGGAGUGAAAUCUCUGGGCUUAACCCAGAGGCUGCUUCCAAAACUGCUGUGCUUGAGUGUGGGAGAGGCGCGUGGAAUUGCAGGUGUAGCGGUGAAAUGCGUAGAUAUCGGAAGGAACACCAGUGGCGAAAGCGGCUUCCUGGUCCAGCACCGACGUUCAGGCACGAAAGCGUGGGGAGCAAACAGG